CAGAAAUCAACAGUCCAAUCAAGGAUGGAACCGCAACCAGCAGUCGCAGGGUCAGGCGUACCACCAGAACCAGCAUCAACGCUCCCAGAGCUAUGGGGGACAUAGCAGCCAAGGAUAUAGUGGUUAUAACCAACAGCAGGGCUACGGGGGCUCGAGACAAGGUCAGGGCUACCAACGAGGAGGUGGAGGAAAUCAAUAUGGCAACAGAGAUAAUAGGAAUCAGGACUGGCAGGGUGGAAACCAGGGAGGUGGAGGAUACCCCAAACCUCCUGGAUACUCCCAAAGGAGAUACUAAGAUGCCAUCAUGAUGAUACCGAUACAGGCAUCACUAAAACCAUCAUCAUCCAAUCUUCAUCUGGCUUCGAAGCUCUCCUGUGGUAGAAGCACAGCUGGACUAGUGCCCCUAGACUUUGAGUAUCUAAUUAUUGUUUCUCCAUAUUUCUUUAAUAAUAUCCAUGAAGUGACCUUUUUUCGCUUGCAACUGCUAUAAGCUCUCGUAAUGGAUAGUUUUGAAGUUCUUUAGCAUUACCAAAGCUGGAGCAAUGUACCCAGUUUUAAGAAUGUGAUGACAUUUCUCUAAAUUUCAUCAUUCAUGAAUAAUAACCUGGCAGUGUUUCAUGAAACAACUCAGUGAUUUUCACCAUCUGUUAUAAACUACUGAAAUGCCUUCGGUCUCCUCUAGUUUAAACAUAGAGCAGUACAUCCAGGUUUGAAAGUAUGAAAUUUCUCUGUUCAUAGAGAUAUGGGUAGCAUUUCAUGAAGUUAUUUCUUAAUUAAAUUUGCUUAGAGCUUUUAUAAGCUCCUGCAAUACCUGUUUCUUAUUGGCUGAGAGCAUAUUUAUCAGUGAAUAAAACAUUCAAAAUAUGCUUCAUGAAAUGGUCCUCAUGAAGGUGUUUCAUGAAGUUGUUCGUAAGUUACGCAAGUCUGGGUGCAUGACAGGCGACCAGGCACCAAAUCAGGGGGCUGUUACAUAAAGCUGUUCGUAAGUUAAGAAUGACUAUAAGAACGACUGGUGAACCUUUCUUACGCGCUUAAACCAUCGCCAAUGAAUAUACCAUUUUCCACAAGAAAGGAUCACCACUCACCAGUCGUUAAAGUCGCUCUAAACUUACGAACAGCUUUAUGAAACACCCACCAGGUUCUCAGCCAUAGUGACUCCCAUCAACUGAACUUUAAAUCAGACCAAUGUAUGUUAAAAUUGGUUUUGUUACCACCCGUUUGAAUGUAGUUUUAUCAUUGUCAAAACUUGAUAAGGGUUGUUGAAAAUUCAUUUGCAUUCUCUUAAAAUCGGACAUUCUGGGUAACAUAUUCUUUAAGAAAGGUGCCAAUGUUGUGCAGAAAGUCUUGUGUCACUUUAUACAAACAGCUUCAUGCAACACCCCUAGUAUGCUUAAUAUUUUGCUUGUCAAAUCAUAUGGGACUACAGAAAUAGCUUCUAUUGAGGAAAAAAAAUUUGUUUUUAUGAGAUAUAUUGGGUAGGAAUCCUGAGUAUUAAGAUGACUUAGACAAAUCCUAUACAGAGUUAACUUGAGCAAAGAUGAUUGUAUUUUUAUAUUUCGUUUUAAUCUGCCAUGUUGAAAGAAAUAUUUCAUGAAAGAGACAUGAUACAUAUCGGGAAGAGUCACUCGGCCAAACCCACCAGAACUAAAUUUCAGUAGUAGCAAAUUUACUACUGCAUGAGAGCACCAAACUAUUUGAUAUUUUGGAAUGUUUUUAACUCACUUUAUUAGUAUGUCAUGCCUUUUUAUUUCAGUUGAGGUUUCAUUUUUUUUUUUGGUUUAUAGUGAGAAAAAAAAGUUCUAUAAACCAUUUAUACCUUUGACACUUUUCCCAAAACCUAGAUCUAGAAAUCCAUUCAUGCAAACUGAUAUACAGAUAAAACAUUUAUCACACCUUAUACAUGUACACUAUUCAUUGUGUUUAAAAGUAGAGUUAGAUUCUGAAAUCUAAUUUGAUUUAAGGUUGGACAGAGCUGCAAAACUUUGCUUAACCCUGAACAGACUGGUGAUGGAACUUUCAUCAAUCAUAGGAUGUGUAUUACUAUUAGACGAUUUAUUGAUUCACAAUGUGCUGUCUUUUUUCUAUCCAUAUAUGAAUUAAGUUAGGGUAUUUUUUCUUUGUUCUUUUGUAAUUUCAUUUAUAGUUGCUGAUGAUGAAUUUUUAACUAAAACAGUUUGCUCUUCUGAUUGUAAGGGUAUGUUCUUUGCAAUGACCAAAAAAUGUUAAUUGAUAUUUACUGUGUUUACACGCAGAAUCAGCUUUUUUGUUGCAUGUAAACGUGAUUAACUUGCAUUGGCUCACGGUGCAGAAUCGGCAAUUUUGCACCAACAAAAUAGUAGGAUCAGAACUGCGAGCUGAUGCAGAAUCAGUUUUUUUCUAUGUGUAAACACAAAGCCGAUUCUGCAUCGGCAAUUGGCGCGUGUUUUAAUUACUUUAUCAUUAUGACGUACUUGUAAGUGCCCGGAUCCAGCGUUGUCUUUAUUAUGACGUAUGUUGUUGGUGCGCGGAUAUUUCAUCCACUGAUCUGUGUUUUUGCCCCGUGAGCCGAUUCUGCACCGCGAGCUCUGACAGCGUGUAAAUGCGAUGCAAGAUAUUAACCCAAAGCAGAUUCUGCAUCGCAAGCCAAUGCAGCGUGUAAACACGGUAGACUUGUUAUGAAGAGUAGCAACUUUUUCAUAUCUGAGAGCAUUUGGUGGAGUGAUGACAUCUCAAAGAUGAGGUGUUCAGUCGAUAACAGGAACAUGCCAAAUAGUUAAGGUUUAGUAUCCAAACCUCUUGCUCGCAGAAAUUGCCCUUUUCAUUAAUACAACCCUCAUGUUCUCACAGAUGCUCACUAUAAAAGAUUGGAGAAGGAUGACAUGAUGAUAGCACAAUGUUAUGCAAGGCCUGAUGGAAUGCUAGCUCAUGAAAACCAAAGGGCUUAUUUGGGGAAAUGUGAGGUAGUAUUGUUAUCUUCACGCAAAUUAUAUGAGUUUUAGAUUGAUUAUUGUUCACUCUUGAAUAUACAUUUGGGGACAUGCAGAAAUAUGACACAAGAAAAGGAAACAGUUGAAGUAGAACUUGUAUUAGAACAUUCCAAACUUUUCUAUGGUUUUUAAUUAUUUUUUGUCACAAUCAUGCUGCGAAUUUUACAAUGUGUGACAUGCCUUUGUAUUUUUUAUUUACUGAAGAGUUAUCUUUCCUGUUUUUAAAAUAAUUGAAAAUAAGUAAAAUAUGAACAAAUUGAGGUUUGUGGUUGUAAAUGACUCUUCUGUUGACAAAAAAAGGUAGUAGAUUGUGUAUCACAAAUGUGCUUCAAUUUAUUUCACUUCUUCACCAAACCAUGACAAAUGAACACAUUUAAAAUAUUUUAAAAACACCAUCUGAAAUGUUAUUUCUAUUUUCUUUUAUAACAUUUUAUCAUGUCCUACUUUUGAUAUGACUCCUGAUUUUCCAGUAAAUUUAGGUGAAAUAAAACUGUUUUUUAUAUUGCACCACCCCUAAGACUUACACAGAUAUGACAUGACAGAUCUCAUUGAAAAAUCCCAUUCGGCAUCAUUUCCAUGGCUACAAAAAAAGUAAGUGACCUAAACAAAUGUAAAAAAAAUUAACUUCUGAAAUUAUAUGAUAAAACUUGAUGAAAUGAUUGUGAUGGCAUGGGUUUUGCUUUAGAUAAUUUCUCUGUGUUUGGUUUUAUUUAUUCUGGUUGUAAUGAAUCUUUAAGAGUUGCAUCAACUCAUGUAAGAAACUUGGUUAUUUCAGCAUCUUUGCCAUUAAAAUAAACAAAAGAAUUUAGAAAAGAUAUAUAACACAGUGUGGUAUUUCUCUAAAUAAGCGUUCAUAUUAAGGUUUUUUGAAUGUGUAAAUAUUAACAUAAUGUAAUGAUCGUUUGAAAGGAUAAAUUGUUUGAUAUAUGAACAGAAAAAGACUUGUAAAUUAAAAUGUUUGAAUUAAUCAACAAAAAAUAU